GGCCGCGGGAAUUCGAUUCAGGCCUAACACAUGCAAGUCGAGCGGUAGAGAGAAGCUUGCUUCUCUUGAGAGCGGCGGACGGGUGAGUAAUGCCUAGGAAUCUGCCUGGUAGUGGGGGAUAACGUUCGGAAACGGACGCUAAUACCGCAUACGUCCUACGGGAGAAAGCAGGGGACCUUCGGGCCUUGCGCUAUCAGAUGAGCCUAGGUCGGAUUAGCUAGUUGGUGAGGUAAUGGCUCACCAAGGCGACGAUCCGUAACUGGUCUGAGAGGAUGAUCAGUCACACUGGAACUGAGACACGGUCCAGACUCCUACGGGAGGCAGCAGUGGGGAAUAUUGGACAAUGGGCGAAAGCCUGAUCCAGAGAUGCCGCGUGUGUGAAGAAGGUCUUCGGAUUGUAAAGAAAUGUAAGUUGGGAGGAAGGGCAGUUACCUAAUACGCGAUUGUUUGACGUACCGACAGA
rnacentral:rRNA from 1 species